AUGUUCUAUUGCAUCAAUGGAGCAAGGAAGGGGUUUCUCAAGGGGUGCAGACCAUUCAUUGGUGUUGAUGGAUGCUUUAUUAAGCUCACUACUGGUGCUCAACUCCUUGCUACCACUGGUAUAGAUGGCAGCAACAAUAUAUACCAACUGGAUUUGGCAUUGUUAGACAAGAGGACACACCUAGUUGGUGUUGGUUUUAUACAACAACUUCAAAUUUGCCUGGGGGGAGAAGUGGGACAGUUUGGACCAUAUACUAUAAUGUCAGAUAGACAAAAAGCUGUGCUCAAACCCUGUUUUUCUUCUAUUCCCCUCACCAAAGCCUUCCUCUGGUCUUCCCAACAAAGGCUACUGCCGUCGCUGCUGCUGGUGGCUACCCCCGCCGUGACCCGUGAGGUUGCUGCUGUCCCCGACGCCUCUCCUCUCCGUGGUCGUUGCCGGGCAGUGCUGGCUGCUGGGCGUCGUUGUUGCUAG
rnacentral:rRNA from 1 species